GAAGAAAAGAAGUGUGAAAUGAUGGAUGUAUAAGAUGGACAAGUAGAACGCAACUCAGAUCCUGACUCACUUUUAGAAGGAUCACCAACAAAGAGCCACUCAAUUAGCAGACUGUAAUAUGAGAGAUAAAUAAAACUUUUAGAGAGUGAAGCACUUGUUCCUGAAGUGAUGUCAAAAGAGAGUGACCAGCUGGAUAAUGUAUAAAGAAGAUAUAGUAUUUUAUAAGGCCAUUAUGGCUCUAGACACUGUCUUUCAUUUGAGCAGGUUCAAGCUCAGAGGCACCAACAAAACAUCCAUGCACAAACUUAUAAUGUAAGAUAUUGAUUUAUUAGUUUCUAAUGAAAUAUGUUUUUAUUAACUAAGAGUUUGAUACAUAAAACAAAUCUUGAUACUUUAAGCAAGAAAUUUCCUUGUAGUGAAUAGCUUUACUAGAAAUAAAUUUAUUAUUCAAGAUAGUGGUUUGUGAACAUAGGAUUGUAAGUGAGAAGAUGUCAAUUAAGUUAGUUGUCUCUAUUAAUUGACUGUGCUGGUGUUGCAGUAGUUUUUCAGAAUUAAGAUAAUUAAUUGAA
rnacentral:lncRNA from 1 species